UUCCUUCUCUUUACAGGAUCAAAUAAUCUUUUCAGGCUGCUUAGCAAGCCACGCCAGGCCAUUUGCCCCUGGAGCCACAUCACCACGGCUGAAAACACCACGGGAGUGAUGGCCCCGGACUAUGCGCACUGCUGAGAUCUGCUGGAAAGGUGACGUGAAUCACGGGAGACUGAUGCCACCCCUCCAUAUGUGAAGCUUCAGAGACUCAGAAAUGUCACCAGGACUUGGCUGAUGUCACACACAAGGUGCUUCCUGCUGGUCCUGACUCCGUCCCGAGCCUGCACUGAUCCAGUUUCUUCUCCACUUGAGCUUCCAUGGUGGUUUGCAUUGCUCUCUGUCAUUGACAUAUCAUCAUGUACCAUGAGGUGAG